CGAAAGCCUGACGGAGCAACGCCGCGUGAGGGAGGAAGGCCUUAGGGUUGUAAACCUCUUUUCUCUGGGAAGAAUAACUGACGGUACCAGAGGAAUAAGCCUCGGCUAACUCCGUGCCAGCAGCCGCGGUAAGACGGAGGAGGCAAGCGUUAUCCGGAAUUAUUGGGCGUAAAGCGUCCGCAGGCGGUUAAUUAAGUCUGUUGUCAAAGGUCACAGCUCAACUGUGGAUCGGCAAUGGAAACUGGUUGACUAGAGUGUGGUAGGGGUAGAGGGAAUUCCUGGUGUAGCGGUGAAAUGCGUAGAUAUCAGGAAGAACACCGGUGGCGAAGGCGCUCUGCUAGGCCGUAACUGACACUGAGGGACGAAAGCUAGGGGAGCG
rnacentral:rRNA from 1 species